CAUGUCUACUUAUAUGUGGAAUUAGAAUAAAUGUGAAAAUGAUCAAACACUAUUGGUAAAUGAUAAAUCGGUUCGGUUCUAUUCCAAUUCGAUUUUG